rnacentral:rRNA from 1 species
AGAAUUUGAUCUUGGUUCAGAUUGAAUGCUGACGGCGUGGAUGAGGCAUGCAAGUCGAACGAAGCGGGGUAACUCGCUUAGUGGCGGAAGGGUUAGUAAUACAUGGGUAACCUGCCUUCAACCUGGGAAUAACGGCUGGAAACGGCCGCUAAUACCGAAUUAGGUGGCUCUAGGCAUCUAGAGUUUAUCAAAGUGGGGGACCGUAAGGCCUUGCGGUUGAUGAAGGGCCCAUGGGAUAUCAGCUUGUUGGUGAGGUAAUGGCUCACCAAGGCUAUGACGUCUAGGCGGAUUGAGAGAUUGACCGCCAACAUUGGGACUGAGAUACUGCCCAGACUCCUACGGGAGGCUGCAGUCGAGAAUCUUUCGCAAUGGGCGAAAGCCUGACGAAGCGACGCCGUGUGAAUGAUGAAGGCCUUCGGGUUGUAAAGUUCUUUCGCUUGGGAACAAGAAAGAUAGAUGAAUAACCUAUCGAUUUGAGCGUACCAGGUAAAGAAGCACCGGCUAACUCCGUGCCAGCAGCUGCGGUAAUACGGAGGGUGCAAGCAUUAAUCGGAUUUAUUGGGCGUAAAGGGCGCGUAGGCGGGAAGGAAAGUAGGAUGUGAAAUCCCGAGGCUCAACCUCGGACCCGCAUCCUAAACUCCCUUUCUAGAGGAUGAGCGGAGAAAAUGGAAUUCCACAUGUAGCGGUGAAAUGCGUAGAUAUGUGGAGGAACACCGGUGGCGAAAGCGAUUUUCUAGCUUAGACCUGACGCUGAGGCGCGAAAGUAAGGGGAUCAAACAGGAUUAGAUACCCUGGUAGUCCUUACCGUAAACUAUGUAUACUUGAUGUAGCUGGUCUCAACCCCAGUUGUGUCGAAGCUAACGCGAUAAGUAUACCGCCUGAGGAGUACGCUCGCAAGGGUGAAACUCAAAAGAAUUGACGGGGGCCCGCACAAGCAGUGGAGCAUGUGGUAUAAUUCGAUGCUACGCGAAGAACCUUACCCAGUCUUGACAUGUAGGGGACCGCUGCAGAGAUGCAGCUUUCCGUAAGGACCGCUACACAGGUGCUGCAUGGCUGUCGUCAGCUCGUGCCGUGAGGUGUUCGGUUAAGUCCGGUAACGAGCGCAACCCUUAUCAUUAGUUGCCAACACUUCGGGUGGGAACUCUAAUGAGACUGCCUGGGUUAACCAGGAGGAAGGUGAGGAUGACGUCAAGUCAGCAUGGCCCUUAUGACUGGGGCGACACACGUGCUACAAUGGUCGGUACAGAAGGCAGCAAAGCCGUAAGGUGGAGCAAAUCCCUAAAGCCGAUCUCAGUUCAGAUUGUAGUCUGCAACUCGACUACAUGAAGUUGGAAUUGCUAGUAAUGGCGCGUCAGCCAUAGCGCCGUGAAUACGUUCCCGGGCCUUGUACACACCGCCCGUCACAUCAUGGGAGUUGGUUUCACCCGAAGUCGCUGACUCAACCGUAAGGAGAGAGGCGCCGAAGGUGAGGCCGAUGACUGGGAUGAAGUCGUAACAAGGUAGCCCUACCGGAAGGUGGGGCUG